rnacentral:rRNA from 1 species
CAGCCCGGUAAUUCCAGCUCCAAUAGCGUAUAUUAAAGUUGUUGCAGUUAAAAAGCUCGUAGUUGAACUUCGGGGUCUACCCAUUGGUCAGGCUUAAUUGUCUGCACUGGUGAGAUGGAUCUCUACCUUCUGAGGAACUUUCAUGCCAUUUAUUUGGUGUGAUUGGAAAUCAGGACUGUUACUUUGAAAAAAUUAGAGUGUUUAAAGCAGACUAUCGUCUGAAUACAUUAGCAUGGAAUAAUGAAAUAGGACGGACUGAUUCUAUUUCGUUGGUUUCUAGGAUCACCGUAAUGAUUAAUAGGGAUAGUUGGGGGCAUUAGUAUUCAAUUGUCAGAGGUGAAAUUCUUGGAUUUAUUGAAGACUAACUACUGCGAAAGCAUUUGCCAAGGAUGUUUUCAUUAAUCAAGAACGAAAGUUAGGGGAUCGAAGACGAUCAGAUACCGUCGUAGUCUUAACCAUAAACUAUGCCGACUAGGGAUCGGACGAAGUUAAUUUUAUAAUGACGCGUUCGGCACCUUACG